CACCGGCUGUGCACUAAUAGUAAUGAAAAGUAUUAAGCUCUUUACAUUUCUUUUAAAUUACAAAAUUACGAGUUUACAAUCGAGGGCAUGCAUCCUAUUUAACGAUAAAAUUUUGAAUUGAGAAAACAAAUAUAUUGAGUAAUACGUGUAUUAUUUUGUUUGAUAAAUCGUUACUUACGGAAAGUACAUACAAAUUUGUUCAUAAAUUUCGAUAGAACACGAGUUAUCUUGCAUUGGUUACUAGGAUGCGGACGUAGCAUGCAAACCCAUACGAAUAAACGAAAUAUGAAAAGUUAUUGGUUUACACGUGGUUAUGUUAAAAGAUUUUUUUUUGUCAGACAAAGAUAUAGACUACUAAUUAGUUCCUGGUGUCAAAUUCACAAAAGAAAACAACAAUAAAUCAUACGAAAAUCAAGAUGUUGGUUACAUAAAGACAACUGAUUUUGUUUUCUGCAAAAUUAUAAACUGUUCUUGAAAUGGGUUUGUGGAGGAUGUUGUUUUUCGAAAUUGCCAACUGAUGCGUCUUCGCCGUCAAUGUGAAGGUCAAGAUCGCUAAUUGAAUAUUCUCUAAAUGUUUUGGUCCGAUCUGACAACAUAUCAUUGUCCACAUAUUUGCCACUUUCAUGUUGACAGCCAGAGUAAAUACCAACUUUUGUCCU
rnacentral:lncRNA from 1 species